rnacentral:rRNA from 1 species
UGGGGAAUAUUGCACAAUGGGCGAAAGCCUGAUGCAGCGACGCCGCGUGAGGGAUGACGGCCUUCGGGUUGUAAACCUCUUUCAGCAGGGAAGAAGCGAAAGUGACGGUACCUGCAGAAGAAGCGCCGGCUAACUACGUGCCAGCAGCCGCGGUAAUACGUAGGGCGCAAGCGUUGUCCGGAAUUAUUGGGCGUAAAGAGCUCGUAGGCGGUUAGUCGCGUCUGCUGUGAAAACUCGAGGCUCAACCUCGGGCUUGCAGUGGGUACGGGCUGACUAGAGUGCGGUAGGGGUGACUGGAAUUCCUGGUGUAGCGGUGGAAUGCGCAGAUAUCAGGAGGAACACCGAUGGCGAAGGCAGGUCACUGGGCCGCAACUGACGCUGAGGAGCGAAAGCAUGGGGAGCGAACAGGAUUAGAUACCCUGGUAGUCCAUGCCGUAAACGUUGGGCACUAGGUGUGGGUCCAUUCCACGGAUUCCGUGCCGCAGCAAAGCGCACUAAGUGCCCCGCCUGGGGAGUACGGCCGCAAGGCU